UUCAGUUCAUGCAUUUGCCAUAAAAUUAAACCUCAAAAUUUCUUGUCAAAAUGUAGUUCUAAAUUUCUACUUCUAAAUGAGUUUGAAUUGGAAAAGUUCGAACCAUCUGGGACUUCAGCAUCAUAUAUACAUCUUAUAAUUACAUUAUGUUGCCAUACGGCUCAUGGAACACGGUAAUUACGAGUAGAUCAACAGAAUGCCGAGAUCCGGGCAUAUUGAUAUGUUUACGAGAAUCGAUUUGCCUUCUCCACAUGUUCAGGUGUUCCUGGGACUUUUCUUUUGCGGGACUCUAAUUCUAAUGUUUAAUCCACGUCAACAAUUUCCAGAAAAUAUUGAUACACAAAUAUCACUUGUGGAGAUACAACAGUAUCAAGUGCACCUACCCAUCGAAGCUAUAGCGAUAUCAUCGGAACUGAGAGGACCCUCGCGACAAAAUUCGUUGAGCACUCAACAGGAAAAAGAACUUCUAAACUUUUAUGUCAGCAAUGCUUCGAAUCUGACCUCGUCGGAUUCCAUUUGUCAGAACACUCAGGAAACAGAUAAAUUUCAAAGAAAAGGCAUCAAAGAAAACACAUAAAAAAAAGGAUAUGAAAGGAGGUUCCAGUGAGAAUGCAAAAGGUGCAAUGUGAUCUGUUGAGAAAUCGCAAAAAAGUGCUUUAAAGGGGAAAACGACAUCAAUUUCAUCCGACAAAAAGGGUUAUUUUCUGACUAGGCGAUGAAGGUGAGACAGCAAAAAUAUCAUGUUUAGAAAUAUAUAACUGAAACUAAUAUUUUUUUUAUAC